AACGGCUGCUAAUACCCCAUAUGCCGCGAGGUGAAAUGAAUUUCGCCUGAGGAUGAGCUCGCGUCUGAUUAGCUAGUUGGUGUAGGUAAUGGCUCACCAAGGCAUCGAUCAGUAGCUGGUCUGAGAGGAUGAUCAGCCACACUGGGACUGAGACACGGCCCAGACUCCUACGGGAGGCAGCAGUGGGGAAUUUUCCGCAAUGGGCGAAAGCCUGACGGAGCAACGCCGCGUGAGGGAUGAAGGCCUCUGGGCUGUAAACCUCUUUUAUCAAGGAAGAAGAUCUGACGGUACUUGAUGAAUAA
rnacentral:rRNA from 1 species